rnacentral:rRNA from 1 species
CCUACGGGAGGCAGCAGUGAGGAAUAUUGGUCAAUGUCCGCAAGUCUGAACCAGCCAAGCCGCGUGAAGGAAGACUGCUCUAUGGAUUGUAAACCUCUUUUGUCAGGGGGUAAAGUCAGCCACGCGUCUCUGUCGGAGAGUAUCUUAAGAAAAAGCAUCGGCUAACUCCGUGCCAGCAGCCGCGGUAAUACGGAGGAUUCGAGCGUUUACCGGAUUUAUUGGGUUUAAAGGGUUCGUAGGCGGUCGGAUAAGGUAGAGGUCAAAUCCGGAGGCUCAACUUCCGAAGUGCCGUUGAUACUGUUCGGCUAGAGAGUAGGAGAGGUAGGCGGAAUGCAUGGUGUAGCGGUGAAAUGCUUAGAGAUCACACAGAACACCGAUUGCGAAGGCAGCUUACCGGGCCCCUACUGACGCUGAGGCACGAAAGCGUGGGGAGCGAACAGGAUUAGAUACCCGGGUAGUC